rnacentral:rRNA from 1 species
UAUUAUUUUAGCGGCGGACGGGUGAGUAACGUGUGGGUAACCUGCCUUUUACUGGGGAAUAAUCGUUGGAAACGACGACUAAUACCGCAUACGGUUCUUGGAAGGCAUCUUCUAAGAAAGAAAGGAUUUAUUCGGUAAAAGAUGGGCCCGCAUCUGAUUAGCUAGUUGGUGAGAUAAUAGCCCACCAAGGCAACGAUCAGUAGCCGACCUGAGAGGGUGACCGGCCACAUUGGGACUGAGACACGGCCCAAACUCCUACGGGAGGCAGCAG